rnacentral:rRNA from 1 species
AUUGAACGCUGGCGGCAGGCCUAACACAUGCAAGUCGAACGAGUGGCGGACGGGUGAGUAAUGUAUGGGAAACUGCCUGAUGGAGGGGGAUAACUACUGGAAACGGUAGCUAAUACCGCAUACCAUCGGAUGUACCCAGAUGGGAUUAGCUAGUGGGUGGGGUAAAGGCUCACCUAGGCGACGAUCGCUAGCUGGUCUGAGAGGAUGACCAGCCACACUGGAACUGAUACAAGGGCCAGACUCCUACGGGAGGCAGCAGUGGGGAAGAUUGCACAAUGGGCGCAAGCCUGAUGCAGCCAUGCCGCGUGUAUGAAGAAGGCCUUAGGGUUGUAAAGUACUUUCAGCGGGGAGGCGUUACCCGCAGAAGAAGCACCGGCUAACUCCGUGCCAGCAGCCGCGGUAAUUC